ACACGAUACUCCUCUGUGAUAAAAAACCGAUGUGGCUGGACAAUGUAGCCGGCAGACUCCAGAAAAAACUCUACCCAGAAUGUCGGAGAGCUUGUGUCCGAAUGUCCAGCUCAUUUUCUCCAAUUCGCUUCAUACAACCAAGGCAAUGCUGGAUACCUUGCGAUGGGAAACAGACUGAAGGAGUUGUUUGACAAGGAAUUUAAUAGUCAACAUCUCUGAACAAACUGUUGGCUGACAGAUUUCAUUUUUAAGCUCAGUAGAUACUGGGAAAAUGUGUAAAUAGCCCUGUUUAUUCCAAACAGAAAAGCUGCUAAUCAAGAGAAGGCAAUGGAACUUUACUUGAUUUAAGACACAACUUAUCUAGUUUACCUAACGUACUUUUUAAAUUACAUUGAAUUUCAAAGUGUAAACCUGUGGAAGGUACAUCAAAAGAUGUCUGAUUUACAGGUCAUAAACAGUACUUCCAGAUAGGUUAGAAGUUGUAAAAGCCUUUUGAAAUUGCCUUAAGUGAUGUCACUUGAGUCAGCGUUGCCUCUUUGUAUAUAACAAUCCGGGGGGGGGGGGAUAGAUUAAUCAUUUAUGUAAUAAGUGAGAUGGCCAGACCUUUUGAGUCGGCUCCAUAUCUCUGCUUGUGUAAUUUAACUAGUAUAUUCUCCAACCUUAUGUUGCGUUUCAGUCAAAGGUCCAAAAGUUUUUCCGGUUAAAGUUUUCAACUUCCCAAGUGUUUCAGCUCCAGGAUGCAAAGUGAGCAUGUGCUGAUCGUGGGGAGAUGAUGUUUCUCUGGCAAGAGCUCUGUAGCAAUUUGACUGUUUUAACGUUUUCCAAAUAACUUUUAUACUGUCAAGAUAACUUUCAAAGAUUUUUUACUCUAACCAGCUACCUUGUUUCCUGCUCUGACAUCCAUUUACACUCAGGUUUUACUGUCCAAUAGUAUGAAUAUAAUUACAAAUAGGUAAAUAUAUUAUUAGAUAAUAGCAACACUGACUUUAAAUGGUGUUUUAUUUCCUUUUGUAGUAGUAUAGACAUGUUUGGACUUUUCAGUCUCAUCCUGUGUAAUUAAUUCAACAGAUUGUUCAAGGAAGACAAAUGCGUGAACAAAGUCUUGAGUGUUAUUGGACAGCUUUUUGCAUAAAAAGGUUAAGUAUGGUAUCAUUAGUAUUUGUUUAAUUGUUUUCUUAAGUUUUGACAGCUUUUCGUUAACCCAAGUUUUUACAAUGGAGGUGUUUUAUAUGAAUGUGUGAUUUUAUUCAAAGAAAAUGUAACUCCCAACAUUAUUUUCAAUGGCACUUUAUUAUAAAGAAUAAUCACGUUAGGAUAAGAGUGUUUCAUAAAGUAUAAAUUAUGAAUGUAUGUUUUGUGAAAGUCAGAAAUUGACUUUGUAUUAGUCCAAAGCAUUAGCAUAAAAAAUGAUAUUGCUUGUUUUGAUAAACCUGCUUGUACUUCA